rnacentral:rRNA from 1 species
AGGACAAACGCUGGCGGGGUGCAUGAGACAUGCAAGUCGAACGAGGUUCCAUCGGGCUUGCUCGAUGGAGUCCUAGUGGCGGACGGCUGAGUAACGCGUAGGUGACCUACCCGGAAGUGGGGAAUAACUGCCCGAAAGGGUGGCUAAUACCGCAUGUGGCCGACGAUUCAUUUCGUCGUCUAAAGGAGCAAUUCGCUUCCGGAGGGGCCUGCGUCCGAUUAGCUAGUUGGUGAGGUAACGGCCCACCAAGGCGACGAUCGGUAGCUGGUCUGAGAGGAUGAUCAGCCAGACUGGGACUGAGACACGGCCCAGACUCCUACGGGAGGCAGCAGUCGGGAAUUUGCCAAUGAGCGAAAGCUUGAGGCAGCAACUCCGCGUGAGGGAUGAAGGCUCGUAGGUCGUAAACCUUCUUUUCUCGAGGAAGAUAACAAGACGGUACCUGAAGGAAUAAGCGACGACUAACUACGUGCCAGACAGCCGACGGUAAUCGUAGACGCGGCUA